rnacentral:rRNA from 1 species
GACGAACGCUGGCGGCGUGCCUAAUACAUGCAAGUAGAACGCUGAAGCUUGGUACUUGCACCGAGCGGAUGAGUUGCGAACGGGUGAGUAACGCGUAGGUAACCUGCCUGGUAGCGGGGGAUAACUAUUGGAAACGAUAGCUAAUACCGCAUAAGAGUAGAUGUUGCAUGACAUUUGCUUAAAAGGUGCAAUUGCAUCACUACCAGAUGGACCUGCGUUGUAUUAGCUAGUUGGUGAGGUAACGGCUCACCAAGGCAACGAUACAUAGCCGACCUGAGAGGGUGAUCGGCCACACUGGGACUGAGACACGGCCCAGACUCCUACGGGAGGCAGCAGUAGGGAAUCUUCGGCAAUGGACGGAAGUCUGACCGAGCAACGCCGCGUGAGUGAAGAAGGUUUUCGGAUCGUAAAGCUCUGUUGUAAGAGAAGAACGAGUGUGAGAGUGGAAAGUUCACACUGUGACGGUAUCUUACCAGAAAGGGACGGCUAACUACGUG